GGGUGCCGGCGAGCGGCGGACGGGUGAGUAAUGCAUGGGAAUCUGCCCGGUAGUGGGGGAUAACCCGGGGAAACCCGGGCUAAUACCGCAUACGUCCUACGGGAGAAAGCAGGGGAUCUUCGGACCUUGCGCUAUCGGAUGAGCCCAUGUCGGAUUAGCUUGCUGGUGAGGUAACGGCUCACCAGGGCUGCGAUCCGUAGCUGGUUUGAGAGAAUGAUCAGCCACACCGGGACUGAGACACGGCCCGGACUCCUACGGGAGGCAGCAGUGGGGAAUAUUGGACAAUGGGCGAAAGCCUGAUCCAGCCAUGCCGCGUGUGUGAAGAAGGCCCUCGGGUUGUAAAGCACUUUCAGCGGGGAAGAAGGCGUGGCGGUUAAUACCCGCCACGAAGGACAUCACCCGCAGAAGAAGCACCGGCUAACUCCGUGCCAGCAGCCGCGGUAAUACGGAGGGUGCAAGCGUUAAUCGGAAUUACUGGGCGUAAAGGGCGCGUAGGCGGCCUGUCACGCCGGGUGUGAAAGCCCCGGGCUCAACCCGGGAACAGCAUCCGGAACGGGCAGGCUCGAGUGCAGGAGAGGAAGGUAGAAUUCCCGGUGUAGCGGUGAAAUGCGUAGAGAUCGGGAGGAAUACCAGUGGCGAAGGCGGCCUUC
rnacentral:rRNA from 1 species